GAAGCCGUUAGAGGAGGCCCAAGGAAAGACAUGGAGGGAAAGAGUGAGAGAAAAGAGAAUCUACCCAGACUCAGGAGGCAGAAGCAGGCAGAUCUUUAUGAGUUCAAGGCCAGACUGGUGUUUUCAAAAGAUUUCCUAAUGACCUUUGGAAUUUAGUAAACAAAUCUGCAUCCAUCCCUUUAUAUUUCACACACAUUUCAGCCUCCAUCUUCCUGCAGUCUUUCUAAGAAUUCUUUUUUUUUUUUUUUGGUUUUUCGAGACAGGGUUUCUCUGUGUAGCCCUGGCUGUCCUGGAACUCACUUUGUAGACCAGGCUGGCCUCGAACUCAGAGAUCCGCCUGCCUCUGCCUCCCGAGUGCUGGGAUUAAAGGCGUGCACCACCAUGCCCGGCCUUUUUUUUUUUUUUAAGAUUUUAUUAUUUAUUAUAUAUA
rnacentral:lncRNA from 1 species